UCCCGAGUCCGAUAGCUGACGAACAAAAUCUAUAAAACAGAGAAUCGAAGCAACAGAAUAAGCAUUUUAAUGCUUAGUAAGUUUAAGUAAUGAAAUUAUUUACGACUAAAGUAUAGCGUUCAUAUGACUAAAUGAAUAAUUGCAUAUACACAUAUUCCCAAAAUCAUACUUACUUUACAUUUCAACCCUUAUAUUCAUACACAGGGGAUCAACUUAACUAAAGGCCGGAAGCUUGUUAAUCAAUUGAGCGGAUACUUUUUUAAAAGGAAUCAACUAUUCCAAUGUAUAUACAAAACAUACCUCAUCGUUUGGAUUUUACGAGCGUAUUAAUUGAAAUUAUUACAGAAAGAUCGCUCAUUCCCAAACCCAAGUACCUUCGGGAUUUAGCCGGAUAAAGCAACUCGCAUAAAUGCCUUCGGGUCUUAGCCCGGAUAUAGUAACUAGCCCAAAUGCCUUCGGGACUUAGCCCGGAUAUAGCAACUAGCACAAAUGCCUUCGGGACUUAGCCCGGAUAUAGCAACUCGCACAAAUGCCUUCGGGUCUUAGCCUGGAUAUAGUAACUAGCCCAAAUGCCUUCGGGACUUAGCCCGGAUAUCAUCCGAAUAAUCAUGCACAUAUAUUAAUAAAUCAUAACACAUCUAUAUUUCAUUUUCAUUGUUAGAACUCAAACACAAGACACUUAUCAACCAUUCUCAUUUUCGUCUCAAUAGCCAUAUACAAAGAGCAUGAUUUUGAUUUGCUUUAUGACAAGAUUUCUAUACACAUUCGGCUACCCGUCAUAAGUAUAAACUAAUUACUUAGACAUAUAAUUCAAGUAGAAUCAUUAUAUCACCGUUUAUUUGUUAUGCUUAUAUGUCAUAACUUAAUCAAAUCAUAAACUAAGUUCUAUUACUCAAAGACUUACCUCGGAUGUUGUCGAACGAUCUCAACGGCUAUUCGACCACUUUUUCCUUUCCCUUAUCCAACUUUGAUCCUCUAAGCUCUUGAGCUAAAUCAAACAAUUUACUUCCCAAUCAAACACAAUCAUACGACAUCCAUAUUCAUUUUAGAACCAUUCUUAACAUAAUUACUACUCAUUUACAAAACAAAAUACUCAUAUCACAUUUAUAAAACUACAAGCCAAAUAUACCUAUACUUACCUUACUUAAACAUCAACCCUCAAUUUCUUUGACAUAGCACAUUCCCGAAAAUGAUAAGGCAAUAUAACAACCUUUAAUCCAACUUAUAAUUCAUACAUAUCACAUUCCAAGCAUUCGCUCUAUUCUAUCACUUAACAUACAAACAUUACUCAAUAACUUCCUAGUUCAAAUUCGGCAAUUACACCAAUUCACUAGAUGAUUUAUUAUUAUUAUUAUUGUUCAUUUAUUCAAACUACUACAAAUACCUUAAACUAUCUCAAUUAACAACCAUUUGUAACUUAUUCAUUAAACAUGAAAACAACCAUAUAUCUCUUCCAUUUUCUACCCGUCACGUUUACUCUACUUGAACCGAAUGCACAUAAAGUCCUUGGCUGAAACUCACUAAACACAAAUCAGCCAUAAUCUUGUAUUUAACUUAUGCAUAACCUUAUUUACCUUCCAAAAAUCAUAAAAAUAUCAAACUCUUAAUAUUUAUGUGCAAAGCCGAAUCUUAAUAUGAUCCAACCUUAAACUCAUUCAUUUCAAUCACUCACACGACAUUUGUUCAAUUCAUUAGACAAAUCUAUGUUUUGCCAUUGUACUCAUGAACAUUAGAAUUUAUCAUUUGACUAACUAAAACCCUUCUCUUCAACAAUUCUUCAUAAAACAUAAAAACCAUAACCCAAUGUGACAGCCCUAAUUUGACUCUAGUCGAGAAGUGGUUUCGGGACCACAAAAUCGAGUCACAAAAAUAAUUAAAUGUUAUAUUUUAUGCCUAUUAUAAGUGAAAGUGUGUGUGUGAAAAUUUCAUGUUUUGGUUUUGUCUUUUAAAUGUGAAAUUAAUUAGAAAGGACUUAUGUGUGAAACUUUGGAAAUGUGAUAGGUUAAAUGGUAGUGGGCACAUAAUGCAUGGUGGAAAAAAAAUGUAGACUUGCAUGUCAAAUUCCCCACUUUAGAGGAAGUGGCCGGCCAUGAUGGUAUGGGAUACAAAAUAUAUGCAUUUUGUAUUAAUAUUAUAAUGACUACAUGGUUUUAUAAUAGGAAAUAAGUAUUAGAAAAAAAAAGAAGGCCAUACAUCCUUGCCUUGUUCAUGUGAAUGUUUGAGAAAGAAUGGAGAAAAAUGCUUGGAGGAUUUCGGCAAUGGAGCAAGCUCAAAAUCUAAGGUAGAACAAAAGGGCUCUUUGAUAUUUGGCCUUGGUGAUUCUAAUUGGAGGUAUGUUUAAUUUUAUUUCUUGAUAAUUUAUGUGAAAUUGAGUUAAUUGCUAAGCUCCUUUCAUAGCCCAUGACUCAAUUUUUGUUAUUGGUUUGAAGUGAUGCAUUCGGCUAUGGGUUGUAGAGUGUCUUGGUGGGUGUUUUGAUGUUUUUGUGAUGAGGCAUGAAGAUGGUUGAUUUUAAGUGUUUAAUAAAAAGGAUUGGAUGUGAGUGUGUGUGAAAUGGCAAAUGAUGAGUCUCGGUAACUUCAUGGAGCGUUCGGCUAUUGUGUUUAUGUGAAUAUAUAUAUGCUGAAUGUAGUCUUGGAUAAGUAAAUUUUGAUGUAUUAGAUUGGUAACAUGGUUAUGCCGAUUGUGAAAAUGUGAUAAAGGUGCCAAGAAAUAUUUGUAAACAUGCAUAGUACCGAAUGUGUUCAUGAACGAAUAAGUUAUGUGGGUUGUUUAAAUGAAAGAAAUGGAUAAGUUAAGGUAUAAUUGAGUGUUCGAAUAUGAAUUUAAGAAGAAUGAUACAUUCGACUAUGCUUUGAUGUGCUUGGAUUGUUGUUCAUUGAGUAAGUGAUUGAGGAAUGGUUAGAAGAAUUUGAAUGCUAAACUAGUUGAUUUGUUUAUAAUGUCCGAUUAUGAUCAUUUAUAGAGAUGUGAAUGAAUUGUUGUUAUGUGAAUAAAUAUUUGUUUGAUGAUAUAUAUAUGUAUUCGGAAAUGGGAUAAAAUGUGUAUUAAGGUAAGUUUCAUGGUGAUUAUGCUUGUGAUGUUGGGUUAAUAUUCGGCAUUGAGUAAUGUGGGGUAAGGUGAUUAAUCGGCUAUGAAAUUAGCUAAUUUGAAUAGGUAUGUUUAAUGAUAUGCUUAGUGUAAUGUAUAAUCUUGUAACUCGGCUUAGUAUUGAGAUAAAGGUUAGAUGUAUGAUUGGAUUUUGGUAUGUGUUCAAUUGGUUAAUCAAAGAUUUAAUAUGACGAAAUGUUAAUGAAUAACAUAAUUGGUUUGCACCUUAAAUAGUUGAAAUAAAGCUUGCCGAUUAUGAUUAAAUGUUUAAAUUGUAAUGGUCAUAUAUAGGUAUAUAUAUAUGCCUUAUGUAUGUACCAUGUACACAUAAGGACAUUCGGCAAUAUGAUUAAAUUCAUGUAUAAGGAAGCAUGAUAAAUUAAGUGACUCCUUGCUUGUGAAUGUGAUUUAGAUAUAAAUUAAAUAAGCAUGAAAUCGAGUCAUGGCAUGUUUUAUUAAAUAUGAUACAUAUUGAAAUCUAUUGUUUUAGAUAUAGAUUAAAUGAUAUGUGAUUGCCAAAUGUGAUUGUUAAGUGAAUAAUAUUAGUUAAGUACUUAAGCAAAUCUAUUGUUUUACUUAAGCUUAAGAGCAAAGAGGAUCAAAGUCGGAUAGGGAAAAAGAGAAAGUAAACAAAUAGCCGUGGAUAUCUAGUCGUCGACCACUUCCGAGGUAAGUUUUAAGUGAUUAAACGUUGAGUAAAUUCAAUCAUAAUAGGACAUAAUGAGUUGAUUUAAUAAGAUAUGAUGUGGCCAUGAUAUGUCUCAAACUCAAAUGGUAAGUUCGUAAGUGUUUGGACUUGGAAAUUUAAGAGCAAAUUGUAAUAAUUUGCUUCGGACAGCAGCAGUAACGUGAUUUUAGAAAAUCACUAUAAAUUGUUGGUGUGGAAUUAUAGGCUGAAUAAAAUAUGUAAUCAAAUAUUAAUUAGUCUAGUUUCUUAUAAAAGAGACCGUGUAAGCAAAGAAAUUUCCUAUAAAGAGAUAUUUAAAAUUGUGUGAGACAGUGUCAGAAUGACUCCGAAAUCCCCUGUUCUGUUUUUAGAAAAUCAUUAUAAUUUGUACAAAAAUGGUUAUAAGAUAACAUUUAUAUGCUUAGACUCCUUACUGAGUCUAGUUUCAAAUGAAAUCAAAUAGAACAUAUUUUGAAUUCUGUCAAAUGAUAAAUUUGAUUCGUAGUGAAGAGUGGUCAGAUUAGUCAAACAGUGAAACAGUGAAACAGGGGAAACUUUAAGAAAAAUCUGGUAUUGAUUGGCCAAACCUAAAAUUCUGAAACUUUUAUGGAUGGAAGAUAUAUGAGUCUAUAUUUAGGGAAAAUUAACGGCAAUUGAUUUUGAGUUUUGUAGCUCCAGUUAUAAAUAAUUUAGUGACUAUUGCUCAGGAAAACAGCUUGUAGUGAAUAUGUGAAUUUGUUGUAAACAUUGAUGAAACUAUUUGAGUUACUUAUAAGCUAUUGCUGAAAUUGAUGUACAAGAUAAAUAUAUAUAUGUGUGGUAAAGCUGAAUGGCUAGUGUGAAAUAUGUAUGAGAUAUGUAUAUGUGGUAAAGCCGAAUGGCUAAUGUGAAAUAUGUAUGAGAUAUUUAUAUGUGGUAAAGCCGAAUAGCUAAUGUGAAAUAUAUAUGAGAUAUGUAUAUGUGGUAAAGCCAAAUGGCUAGUGUGAAAUAUGUAUGAGAUAUGUAUAUGUGGUAAAGCCGAAUGGCUAAUGCGAAAUAUGUAUGAGAUAUGUAUAUGUGGUAAAGCCGAAUGGCUAGUGUGAAAUAUGUAUGAGAUAUGUAUAUGUGGUAAAGCCGAAUGGCUAGUGUGAAAUAUGUAUGAGAUAUGUAUAUGUGGUAAAGCCGAAUGGCUAGUGUGAAAUAUGUAUGAGAUAUGUAUAUGUGGUAAAGCCGAAUGGCUAGUGUGAAAUAUGUAUGAGAUAUGUAUAUGUGGUAAAGCCGAAUGGCUAGUGUGAAAUAUAUAUGAGAUAUGUAUAUGUGGUAAAGCCGAAUGGCUAGUGUGAAAUAUGUAUGAGAUAUGUAUAUGUGGUAAAGCCGAAUGGCUAGUGUGAAAUAUGUAGGAGAUGUGUGUAUAUUGUGGCCGAAUGACCAAAUGUGAAAGGUGUGUAUUAUUAGAUAUUUGUUGAGGCAAAUGAAUUACAAAUAUGACAGUCGAUGUGAAUGUUGUAACAUGUGAUUAAAUGUACAUGAAACUUGGAAAUAUAUUCGGGUAAGACUCGAUGACUACGUGUGGAGAUUAUGUCCGGGUAAGACCCGAUGACUACAUGUGGAGAUUAUGUCCGGGUAAGACCCGAUGACUACGUGUGGAGAUUUUGUCCGGGUAAGACCCGAUAACUACGUGUGGGGACUAUUCGAGCUAAAGGUUUCGCUGAAGAUUCGAGUAAAGCAUAAGAUUAUACGACUUCACAAUAACAAUUGGUAAUAAAUACGUUCAAUACGUUAAGUUGGUCAGGUAUGUAUUUUGAUAUUAUAUUUAAGCUUGAUUUGGACUAAAUCACAAGUUCGUUAUGUGAUGCAUAUGUGUGUAAAGCAAUAAGACUGUUCUAUGAUUAUUGUGCGUUUGGUCAAUGUGGAAAGUUAGGUGAAAAUAUGUAAUGUACCUAUGUUUAUAAGAGAUCACUAUCAAGUGAGAAUUUAUCUGCCUAUUAUAUAUGAUGAGAUGUGCAUAUUCGGUAAAUGGAUGGUAUGCCCGAAGGAAGAGUGAAAUAAAAAUACGAACAACUAUGUUAUAAUUUGAUUAUUAUCUGUUGACACUGCUUAAAACUUACUAAGCAUUGUAAUGCUUACUCCGUUUACUUUGUUUCCUCUGUUUUAUAGAUCUCAUUUGGAAGCUAUAGGCUCGGGGAUCGUCAGCAACUAGUCACACUAUCACUAUCCACUGUUUGGUACUACUAUGUUUUGGAUUAUCUUAUGGCAUGUAUAGAAUAGACUAGUAGUGGGAGGAUAUUUUGGUUAAUGUAUAUAAGCUAUGCGAAUAUGACAUCUUUUGAAUGUUUACUUUUAUAAGUUUUUUUUUUAAAAUUUUAUCCCUGGUUAUGUCUAGCAAUUACCCAAUUGAAUGAUCUUUACUUCAAGAAAAUGUUCAAAAUUUUACUGAUCUGGCAUGAGUUACAAGUCUGGUAAUGCCCUUUACCUAUUCCGGCGACGGUUACGGGAUAGGGGUGUUACACCCAAUCUCAUCCUUUAAUAACUAAAACCGAAUGCUCAAACCAUCACCAAGAUUUUCAUAAUUUUGACAUGGGUUAUGUAAGAAAUUAGCUAAUUAACUAGAAACAAGCUUAAAGUUUAAAGAAAAUCUAACACAAAUGACUAACCUCCCUUAAGCUCAAAGUGACCGAAACCUCCUCUUCUUUCUUUCUUCAAUUCGGCCAAGUUGAACAAAGAGAGAACUUUGUUUUCAUCAUCCCAGCCGAACAUGAAACAAGAGAAUUCCUUUCUUCUUCCUCCCUCAAGUCACGGAAUGGAGGAGCAAAGGUGAGACAACUUUGGUU
rnacentral:lncRNA from 1 species